GGUGUUCCCGAGUAGCAGCGAGCUCGUGGAAUUUGCUGUGAAUCUGCCGGGACCACCCGGUAAGCCUAAAUACUUCCUGGAGACCGAUAGCGGACGAGUACCGUGAGGGAAAGAUGAAAAGUACCCCGGGAGGGGAGUGAAAGAGUACCUGAAACCGUGUGCCUACAAGCCGUCAGAGCCUUCGGGUGAUGGCGUGCCUUUUGAAGAAUGAGCCUGCGAGUUAGUGCUGCGUGGCGAGGUUAACCCGGGUGGGGUAGCCGUAGCGAAAGCGAGUCUGAAGAGGGCGAUUGAGUCGCGUGGUCUAGACCCGAAGCGGAGUGAUCUACCCAUGGCCAGGGUGAAGCGACGGUAAGACGUCGUGGAGGCCCGAACCCACUUAGGUUGAAAACUGAGGGGAUGAGCUGUGGGUAGGGGUGAAAGGCCAAUCAAACUCCGUGAUAGCUGGUUCUCCCCGAAAUGCAUUUAGGUGCAGCGUCGCGUGUUUCUUGCCGGGGGUAGAGCUACUGGAUGGUCUAGGGGCCUUACCGGGUUACCGAAAUCAACCAAACUCCGAAUACCGGUUAGUGAGAGCGCGGCAGUGAGACGGCGGGGGAUAAGCUUCGUCGUCGAGAGGGAAACAGCCCAGAACACCAGCUAAGGCCCCUAAGUGUGUGCUCAGUGGGAAAGGAUGUGGGAUUGCCCAGACAACCAGGAGGUUGGCUUAGAAGCAGCCAUCCUUGAAAGAGUGCGUAAUAGCUCACUGGUCAAGUGGUCCUGCGCCGACAAUGUAGCGGGGCUUAAGCACACCGCCGAAGCUGUGUCAUUCACACAAUACAUCGAUGCCUGUCCUUGAGGCGGGUGUGCAGUGGUGUGGAUGGGUAGGGGAGCGUCCUGCAUCCAGGGAAGCGGCCGCGGAAGCGAGUCGUGGAGGGUGCGGGAGUGAGAAUGCAGGCAUGAGUAGCGAAUGCAGAGUGAGAAACUCUGCCGCCGGAUGACCAAGGGUUCCUGGGCCAGGCUAAUCCGCCCAGGGUAAGUCGGGACCUAAGGCGAGGCCGACAGGCGUAGUCGAUGGACAACGGGUUGAUAUUCCCGUACCCGAGCAUGUGCGCCCAUGGCGAGGCGGUUGACACUAACCACCCGAAGCCGCAGGCGAUGUCUUCGGACGGAGUCUGUGUGUGGAGCGUGGGACCUGAUUCCGUAGUAGUCAAGCGAUGGGGUGACGCAGGAAGGUAGCUCCGCCAGGCGAUGGUUGUCCUGGUGUAAGCGUGUAGGCCGNNGGGUGAUCCUAUGCUGUCGAGAAAAGCCUCUAGUGAGUGCAUGCACGGCCCGUACCCCAAACCAACACAGGUGGUCAGGUAGAGAAUACCAAGGCGAUCGGGUGAACUGUGGUUAAGGAACUCGGCAAAAUGCCCCCGUAACUUCGGGAGAAGGGGGGCCAAACACCGUGAAGCUUCACGCAAGUGGAGCGGUGGUUGGCCGCAGAGACCAGCGGAAAGCGACUGUUUACUAAAAACACAGGUCCAUGCGAAGUCGCAAGACGAUGUAUAUGGACUGACGCCUGCCCGGUGCUGGAACGUUAAGAGGACCGGUUAACUCCUUCGGGGGUGAAGCUGAGAAUUUAAGCGCCAGUAAACGGCGGUGGUAACUAUAACCAUCCUAAGGUAGCGAAAUUCCUUGUCGGGUAAGUUCCGACCUGCACGAAUGGCGUAACGACUUUCCGGCUGUCUCGACCACAGGCCCGGCGAAAUUGCAUUACGAGUAAAGAUGCUCGUUACGCGCGGCAGGACGGAAAGACCCCGGGACCUUUACUAUAGUUUGGUAUUGGUUUUCGGUUCGGCUUGUGUAGGAUAGGUGGGAGACUGUGAAGCCUGGACGCUAGUUCGGGUGGAGUCGUUGUUGAAAUACCACUCUGGUCGGAUUGGGAAUCUGAACCUCGGACCAUGAUCUGGUUCAGGGACAGUGCCUGAUGGGUAGUUUAACUGGGGCGGUUGCCUCCUAAAGGGUAACGGAGGCGCCCAAAGGUUCCCUCAGCCUGGUUGGCAAUCAGGUGUCGAGUGCAAGUGCACAAGGGAGCUUGACUGUGAGACAGACAUGUCGAGCAGGGACGAAAGUCGGGACUAGUGAUCCGGCACCUCCUGGUGGAAGGGGUGUCGCUCAACGGAUAAAAGGUACCCCGGGGAUAACAGGCUGAUCUUGCCCAAGAGUCCAUAUCGACGGCAUGGUUUGGCACCUCGAUGUCGGCUCGUCGCAUCCUGGGGCCGGAGUAGGUCCCAAGGGUUGGGCUGUUCGCCCAUUAAAGCGGCACGCGAGCUGGGUUUAGAACGUCGUGAGACAGUUCGGUCCCUAUCCGCCGCGCGCGCAGGAUACUUGAGGAAGGCUGUCCCUAGUACGAGAGGACCGGGACGGACGGACCUCUGGUGUGCCAGUUGUCACGCCAGUGGCAUGGCUGGUUGGCUAUGUUCGGAAGGGAUAACCGCUGAAGGCAUCUAAGCGGGAAGCCUGUUCCAAGAUGAGGUAUCCCACCCCUUUGUGGGUUAAGGCCCCCAAGAGACGAUUGGGUUGAUAGGCCAGAAAUGGAAGCACAGUAAUGUGUUGUCGAGUUGACUGGUACUAAUAGGCCGAGGACUUGCCCAC
rnacentral:rRNA from 1 species